AUUGAACGCUGGCGGCGGGCCUAACACAUGCAAGUCGAGCGGAUGAAGGGAGCUUGCUCCUGGAUUCAGCGGCGGACGGGUGAGUAAUGCCUAGGAAUCUGCCUGGCAGUGGGGGAUAACGUCCGGAAACGGGCGCUAAUACCGCAUACGUCCUGAGGGUGAAAGUGGGGGAUCUUCGGACCUCACGCUCUCAGAUGAGCCUAGGUCGGAUUAGCUAGUUGGUGGGGUAAGGGCCUACCAAGGCGACGAUCCGUAACUGGUCUGAGAGGAUGAUCAGUCACACGGGAACUGAGACACGGUCCAGACUCCUACGGGAGGCAGCAGUGGGGAAUAGUGGACAAUGGGCGAAAGCCUGAUCCAGCCAUGCCGCGUGUGUGAAGAAGGUCUUCGGAUUGUAAAGCACUUUAAGUUGGGAGGAAGGGCAGUAAGUUAAUACCUUGCUGUUUUGACGGUACCAACAGAAUAAGCACCGGCUAACUUCGUG
rnacentral:rRNA from 1 species